UGCUAGUAAUGCAUUUACUGAUUUUUGUCACUCCAAUCGUUUCCAAUAUCUGUCUCUUUCUUUCUUUCUUUUAGCGAAUUCGUUUUUAAAACUGAGUCAGUGCCAAACUGACUCUGUAAUAAAAAAAACGUUUUCAGUUUCACGAAUGCGCAGUUUUGUUGGUGUGCGUUAUAUAGUCUGAUUUGUUUAUAUUCGCGACGAUAAAUGUACAGUGUCGACGUCUAAUGGCGAUAUUAAUGCUUGGGAGGUAAAUUAUUCUCUAUCAGAUCAGCAGGGCCAAGUGCAGUGUAAAAAUAUAAAAGUUUGAAUGAAUGUUUUCACUUCAUAUUGUUUUAUUACUUAAAACAUGUAGUUCUGACACUUACUUAACCAUUUGUCGAUGCAUUUCCUGGUUUUUCCACAAAUAAUUACUAUUAUAAUAUAAAAUCAUCAUUAGCCACAGUUUUCGUUCAAUAUGUUUCUGUGAUAUCGAAAAAAAAACUCUUAUUUCAUCACAUGAAAUAAAUAUUCGAUACGUUAAAGUAAAUUUUCAUUCAUAAUUUUGAUUUUGAAAGCAGGUUUAUUCCACCUGAAUAUCCAUCAUUAUUUUCGCCUCCCAAUGAAAGCACACGUAGCUUAAUGCCGUCUGCUCGAAUAUACUCUUCAAAAUCAGAAUCCGAAUUGGAUUACGCUUCCAAUAAUACAAAAGCAAAAGCAGCAGGUUUUCCAUUUUCAUAGUCUUUAUUUUUAGAUUUUCCAAAAUAAUAUUCGGAACUUGACAGUUCAGUAUAGUUGUAUUGGUGAACCCGAGUGCCAACCCGUGAAACAUCUCAGUGCGAAACUAACAGUUUUCGGGGCGAACUAGUGCGACACUGAAUGCGAAACUGAGUGAAUAAAAAAACGUUUUGACAGCAGUUAGUGCGGCACUGGGGUUGAAACUGAACAAAAACGAAUUCGCUAUUUCUUUCUUUCAUAUUUUCGGUAAGCACAAAUUAAGCAAAGGUUAUGUAGAGUUCAUAUAUGCAGACAAUUGUAAGCGAUAUAAAAAGAAACGAGUCAAUAAAUCCACACAGAAUAAUUCUGAGUCUGAAUCCGACGCAACUUGUCUUUUCUAGUUGCAGCACCGGAUAAUCAAAUAAAUGGUGUAUUUAAUAAGCUGUGGUUUGGUGUAAUUAAUAAGUUGUAUUGUAGCAGAGAAGGUGUAUUGUAAAUGGCGACCGCAUGAUUAGCCUGUAAUCUUCGGGCUCGAAGAAAAUAAAGAAAAUAAAAAGUGCAAAGUGCAGUAAAAUGGGGUUAACAAAAUCAAAACCCAGUGCUACAGUGACGGGAGACAAAGAUCUCACCAUCAUCAGCACGCAAGAGGUGCAUAGUGACUAUCAUGAGGAACACCAAUUAAAAUUGAACAUAAUACGUGGACUAGGCAUCGUUCAAUUGAUAAUAGUGAUGUAUAAGGUGUGGCACAAGAAAGUGGAAAAGAAAACAAUGGAGCGAAUGAAGUCCAUCGCUGAACCUGACAAAGUGUAGUGCCAGAAGAACAAAUUAAACGCAAAAACAAAUAGCGACUGCAUCGCUUUACAUGCAAUAACCAAAGUGCAAUAACAAAAAAAAACUUUUUGUGUCAAGGAGGGGAGACCAAAUCCACCCUAGCCUAACCAGUUUACAUAGGAAGAUGCAUAACAAAUGACCAAAAGUGAAGAGGAGAAUGGAGAAUAACCUAACAGAGAAGAUAUGCUUCCGUUUCAACAUGUGUGGUUCAUGGUUAUGGAACGUAAUGGCCUUUGAAUUCGAACGAGAAAAAUGGCUGCCGUUUUAUUUUUUCAUGGUCUUCUGAAGAACAUCAGCAGUUGUCGAGCCCUUGUGAUAGCCCUCGUUCCAGAUAGAGCUGAUGAUGAGCUUUUGUUUCAACAUAAUAAGUUACCUGUUAGUAUCUGUCCUUCUAUGCAGUAAGGUUCUAUAUUUGUUCCUACCGAUGGAGUUGUUGCUGGUUAGAGACGAAUGAACUGCAAAGUUUGGAGCCUCUUAAAAACAAAGAAGCAAGCAAGUUGUUGCUGCCAACGAUGUUAAUCGGUAGGAACGGAACGAGCGUCUGCUGUGUGCUCCUGUGGUCGAGCGGUCAGUUAUCACAGCGGAGAUUCGGGCUAAUCUCCGUUCUGGCCGGGAGAUUGUUGGUCAAGGUGAUUUCCCCCCUUGUCAUCCACAGACUACAUUCAAGGCGCAUAGAAAAAAAAACUCAACUUAAGUACUAACGAAAAUGGCGCAAUUAAUACUGCGCUGAGACGGCGAAGCGAAGUUCCUCUGGGGACGUUAGUGCCAUCGAAAAAGGAUACCUUAUGUCAGUAUGAAUCAACUCGAUUCUUGGAACGUCUGCUCGCAGAGGUAGAUUCGCAUCGACGACGUCGCCUACGAUGAUUUCCGGCCGGUGAUGAUAGUUUCCUGGUCACCCAUCGUACUGGAUAGAAGUGAAGCCGUUGCUUGAUGGUAAAUAUCGACAAAGAAUAGGGUAAAAACAGGAACGCUAUCCUCCUAUAAGGACACCGUAACCGCACAAAUGGGUGUCCUUUCCAAGUAGAAGAUUACAGUACCGAUGGUUUCUGAUCUGAACGCGCUGUGAAGGAUUCUUCGUGCAAGUAUUUAGUUGUAAUUAUACAAUUUAAGGUGAAAGUUAGUGUAGAUUUAUCCGUGCUUAGCCCUGAUUGUGUACUUUGAAGGCACAAUUUUGGACAAGAAAUCGAAUCUAUAGUAGGCACAGUUAUAGAAAAAAUAAGGUUAACUAUAAUAAGCUACAUCCAAAAUUGAUUUUUAGCUCAUGUUUUGUCAUCCCAGAUUCAUGACAUUAAAUGAGACAUAACAUAACAGAAAAUGUCAUGACUCACAAAUACUGGUAAGCAUUUGUAUAAUAUACAUGGUACAGCAAUAUAGGAUUAAUACGAGCGAGCGAAACAAAAGACAAAUAAGCUUUCCGCAUAUCUUGACACAUACACGGCCUAGACCGAGCUAGAUAUUGUUCUCCUUCAUGCGCACCUUUUUUACUCUUAGGGUGGGUUUAGACUAGUGAUAUAUUCAUGUGAUGAAAUAUGAUGAGAUUUAUAGAAAUCGCUUCAACCGUUUACACUAGCGUGAACUUCUAUAAUGAAUAUAUUCAUAUUUUCGGUGAAUUUAUUCACCUGAAGUAGAACUGCAUCCAACUUUAGUGAUUUCUCACCAGUGAGAAAUUCACAAGCGUUUACAUAUGGUGAAUUUAUUCAAGUUAUAUAUACCUCGAAUAAGUGUAUCAUAUUUGUUCUCACCCGUUUACACAUAUUUUCACGUGAAUAAAUCCAUCUAUAGCUAUAUAUCUCCCUAAUGUAAACCCGCCAUUGGAAAACACUUUCCAACUUCUUUAUAUAAUCAGGUGCAAUAUCAUUACGUAUUUGCUGAACAACUGCUGAAGCAUCAUUAGCCAUGUGGUUAGCGUGGUCGUGUGAAAUAGCUUUGCAUUCCAGCCGGCCUUGGUUCGAUCCCCAUU